rnacentral:rRNA from 1 species
GUGCCAGCCGCCGCGGUAAUACAGAGGUCUCAAGCGUUGUUCGGAAUCACUGGGCGUAAAGGGUGCGUAGGCUGUGUUGUAAGUCAGAGGUGAAAUCCCGGGGCUCAACCUCGGAACUGCCUCCGAUACUGCAAGACUUGAGGACUGGAGAGGAGAUUGGAAUUCAUGGUGGAGCAGUGAAAUGCGUAGAUAUCAUGAGGAACGCUAGUGGCGUAGGCGAAUCUCUGGACAGUUCCUGACGCUGAGGCACGAAGGCCAGGGGAGCAAACGGGAUUAGAAACCCCCGUAGUCC